rnacentral:rRNA from 1 species
UACGUAGGGUGCGAGCGUUAAUCGGAAUUACUGGGCGUAAAGCGUGCGCAGGCGGUUCGUUGUGUCGGCGGUGAAAGCCCCGGGCUCAACCUGGGAAUGGCCGUUGAAACUGGCGAACUGGAGUGUGGCAGAGGGGGGUGGAAUUCCGCGUGUAGCAGUGGAAUGCGUAGAGAUGCGGAGGAACACCGAUGGCGAAGGCAGCCCCCUGGGCUAACACUGACGCUCAGGCACGAAAGCGUGGGGAGCAAACAGG